UGAUGAUGGUAUGGUCAAUUUUCUAAGCAUACCCUUAAAUCUUUCCCAAGAUUGGUAAAGACUUUCUCCUUUUUUCUACCUGAGACUCAGAAUCUCACUUCUCAAACA